rnacentral:rRNA from 1 species
AUACGUAGGUGGCAAGCGUUGUCCGGAAUUAUUGGGCGUAAAGCGCGCGCAGGUGGUUCCUUAAGUCUGAUGUGAAAGCCCCCGGCUCAACCGGGGCGGGUCAUUGGAAACUGGGGAACUUGAGUGCAGAAGAGGAUAGUGGAAUUCCAAGUGUAGCGGUGAAAUGCGUAGAGAUUUGGAGGAACACCAGUGGCGAAGGCGACUGUCUGGUCUGUAACUGACACUGAGGCGCGAAAGCGUGGGGAGCAAACAGGAUUAGAUACCCUGGUAGUCCACGCCGUAAACGAUGAGUGCUAAGUGUUGGGGGGUUUCCGCCCCUCAGUGCUGCAGCUAACGCAUUAAGCACUCCGCCUGGGGAGUACGGUCGCAAGACUGAAACUCAAAGGAAUUGACGGGG